ACUCAAAGGAAUAGACGGGGGCCCGCACAAGCGGAGGAACAUGUGGUUUAAUUCGAUGAUACGCGAGGAACCUUACCCGGGCUCGAACGGCCGUUGCAUAAUUAUGAAAGUAAUUAGUCGCAAGACAGCGGUCGAGGUGCUGCAUGGUUGUCGUCAGCUCGUGCCGUGAGGUGUCGGCUUAAGUGCCAUAACGAGCGCAACCCUUAUCGAUAGUUACCAGCGAUUCAGUCGGGGACUCUAUUGAGACUGCCACCGUAAGGUGUGAGGAAGGUGGGGAUGACGUCAAAUCAGCACGGCCCUUACGUCCGGGGCGACACACGUGUUACAAUGGGCAGCACAGCAGGCAGCUACACGGCGACGUGAUGCCAAUCCUGAAAAACUGCUCUCAGUUCGGAUCGGAGUCUGCAACUCGACUCCGUGAAGCCGGAUUCGCUAGUAAUCGCGCAUCAGCCAUGGCGCGGUGAAUACGUUCCCGGGCCUUGUACACACCGCCCGU
rnacentral:rRNA from 1 species